GUCCAGUAGGAAGCACUCUUUCCUCUGAAGCUAAGCAGGGUUGGUCCCUGGAUGGGAGACCAGAUGCUUCUGGAAGUGGUGUUGGAGAUCCAGUAGGAAGCACUCUUUCCUCUGAAGCUAAGCAGGGUUGGUCCCUGGAUGGGAGACCAGAUGCUUCUGGAAGUGGUGUUGGAGGUUCAGUAGGAAGCACUCUUUCCUCUGAAGCUAAGCAGGGUUGGUCCCUGGAUGGGAGACCAGAUGCUUCUGGAAGUGGUGUUGGAGGUCCAGUAGGAGGCACUCUUUCCUCUGGUCUAAAAAAUAUAUAUGUAACCUAGGGCAGUGAUUGAGGACAUUGCCCUGUGUAGGGUUCUGUCUUUCAGAUGGGAUGUUAAACGGGUGUCCUGAUUCUUUGUGGUCACUAAAGAUCCCAUGUAACUUAUUGUACGAGUAUGUUAACCCUGGUGUCCUAGCUAUAUUUCCAAUCUGUCCCUCAUACCAUCAUGGCCACCUAAUCAUCAUCCCCAGCUUCCAAUUGGCUCAUUCAUCCCGGUGUAACUAUUCCCUAGGUUGUUGCUGUAAAUGAGAACGUGUUUAGGAGACCUGAGGCUUUGGAAGGUUUUGAUUUGGUGUGUUUGGAGAACUGGGGCUUUAUGAUAGGUGUUGAAAGAGGAAGUGGGACAAGCAGUGGAGAUUAUUAGAUAUGGAUUUGUAGUUUCAGGGCAUAUGCACCGUAAAGAGAACCGUGGUGCUAUUUUCAUGUUGUUUUCUUUCUUGUAUUUCUGUUAUAUAAAAAGGAAACUUUCUCAAGUAGAUUUGCUCAGAAUAUUUUUUUCCUUCCUAUUUUUUAAAGGGCAAUUGAGAAGCUAUAUUGAAUAUAACAUGUACAUACUUCUAUAUUGCAGUUUUAAGGGAAAAGGGGAGAAAAAACAUUGAAGAAUUUGAAACCUACAAAAAGAAAAGCUUGUUUUCUUUCUUGUAACGCUGGCUAGUUUCUACUGCCUGUAGAGAACUGUUAGUGCGCUCUGUCUUCAGUAUCGGAAAACAUUUAACAUACACACUAACAGUUGGACCUAUCAUGUGUGUAUCAUAUCUAUACCACAACCAUGCAGUAUUGCUUCACCUUCUUACAUUGUGCAAUGAUGUGCUUUAAUUGGAACAAGAACUAACUUGACCUUUUGAUGACCUUUCUUUGAGCCACCUGUGUGGGAACUAUUACGAAUGCAUUCAUUGGCAUAUAGGCGUUUAUUUGGGCAGUUAUAAUGAGUCCUUGGCCAUUAUGAAUGCUUAUAGUGGUCCAUAUACUGCACUCUUCCCACUUAGUGAAAUGCAUAUAAUCAAUAUGUUUAUGAAGGCGUAAUGCAUUUGUUAAGGUGGUCAUAAGGAACCAUGAGCUGUUGUGAAUGAUUAUGACAAGUCAUAUAAUACACUAUGGAGUGAUCGACUGUGCUAUAUUUGCAGUCAUAAUGAUUUGUACACGAUUCCUAAAAUCUGCUACCUACCUUUUCUGUCUCCCUUCCUGCCAAAUAUGGAUUUAUCAGAAUACAUGUUGUUGUUAUUAUCUUUUGAGGUAAUGUUGUAUGUAAUGAGGAAGUGUGUUAUCCAGAGAAAUAGAAUUCUAGUUUCAUGGUUUUACCUUUGGGGAUUCUGUUUCCUGUCCUGCACAUUCCAACAGGCCGCUUGCCUUGGUGUCUGUCUGUUCCGUACCUGUACAUUUCCCUGUCAUAACUUCAGUGACUUUCUCUCCAUCUCCUCCUCUAUUUCUCUCCAUUAUGUAUCUUUCUCUUUCAAAAUGUACUGUAGUCCCAAGUCAUUACCCAGUAUAUUAAGCUAACCAAGCCCUUGAAAUAUGUUCUGUGAUUCUAUUCUUUGUUUGCUUUUUGAAUGUCGGUGUUGUUGAGUCCAGCCCAACAGCUCAGCAACAGCAAAGCCAAUGGAUCUCCAUCCAAAUGUAAUUCAUCGUCAUGGCAGCUCCUCAACUCUGUGCUUCUUCUUCUACCGUACUCGACAUACCUAUUUGAUCUGUUUGUCUUUCU
ensembl:lncRNA